rnacentral:lncRNA from 1 species
GUGAAGCUCCCUGAGGUGCUGCUUGAAUUUUCUGCAGCAGAUGUACGAGGAGUUAACAUCUGGUUGACCUUUUUUUUGCUAAUCGGGCUAUAUCUAUAGAGGCAGAGUAUUAUCCAGUCUAGGCUCAAUGUUCGGCUAACAAAAGAAACCCUAUCCCUGCCAUCCAUCGUGCUCUUCCCCAAUCCAUUGGCCAUCGGCAUCUAUCGGCGGUGGCAAGCCGCAGUCUGCAGGGGCUCCAGGCAAGCAGGUGAUUUGUUUUAUGUGAAACUAAGUUUGUGAUGGGAUGAUUGAAUGUUUGAUUGUCUGAUUGUCAUGAACUCAUGAUAGAUUGUAAUUUUUAGAUUUUUAGUAUGUUGAAAACAACUUUGUGCAACUAUUUUUCAAGUUCAAGUAGCUCAACCCCACAUACUAAUGAGAGCACAAGUCUUCAGAUGAAUAAUGUGUGCAAACGUCACACACCAUCUAUUAGUUUCCUAAUUUGGC